GCAUUUCUCUUUCGGUUUCACUUUUGUACUUGCUGGAUAGACUGCUGCCACACCGGCUGGCUAGAUUGCUCUGUAAGUAAGGCUUUUCCCUAUUAAAUACCCUUAUAUUUCUACCUGACUCUGUAUUGGUAAUUUCCCAAUAUAUCAAUAUAUAUAUAUAUAUAGUCACUUCUCUCAACAUCUUAAUAGUUGUUGUCAGAUUUGUUAAUGAUAGUCAUUUUGACAGUGAUGAGGUGGUAUAUCAAAGUAGUUUCAAUUUGAUUAAUUAAUUUAAUUAAUCCCAGAGGACUAAGACCAUUGAUUAAUUUUUAAAGUAUCUUUUGGCUGUUUUUCUUUUCUUUCUUUCUUUUUUGCUUUCUAUGGUGAUUUCAUGAGAGCCACGUUAACAAGGGCCAGUGGAAAGCUCAGUGGGUGAAAAAAACCUUGCUAUACAAGACUUGGUCGCAUUCCUAGAAUCCACAUUGAAGGAGAGAACCAACUUCCUACUGCUAUCUUAUAGUCUCCAUGCGAGAAGAAAAACUUUGGAUACCAUCAAAAUUGAUCAAGAUUAGAGUUGAAAAAGACAACCCUCUUGACAAGGACAACUGACUGGAAAACUGAUCUCCAGAAGUCCAAGAAUACUAUAUGAGUAGAUACUUAAGAAAACAAGGUAGCUAUAACCAUCAAACAAAAGGAACAUGCCAUAUGGUAAACUUUACAGCUGUCUCUCAAAUAACUCUGUUUCUCUUCAUUUCCUAGUUCCUAUUCAAGUAAAUAAAUGCUGGAUUUAGAGUUGGAUUUGUCUUUCCUCCCCUAAAAUCUAAACAUGUUGUUUAACUAAACUUUUCAGUUUCUGUAUUAUAUCAAGAAGCCAACUGAUGUAAUACAAAAUAAAUUAAGAAUUUGAAGACCAUCUUUUGUCUUUUCUUGGCUCUUUCUUUCAAGGCCUACACCCUCUCAUAAUUGUUGUUUUCCCAUGGUUGCCUUUCCCAGCAUACAUACAUAUGCAAGCAAACAUUUCUCUGCUAACACUUAUGUUUGAGUCCCAUACAGCCAAUGAAGACCCGCCUUACAACAAUCCCUGGACGCUGCGGAAAUGGAAUUGGGCCAUACCUCCUGGACUGCACUGGAUCCAACUUACUCCAUUUCAACUGACACUCCAGCCAGAGCUUCAAGUACUGGCUUCAGUCAAGUUGAGGAUUUCAACCUAGAUCUUCAAUCAAGCAAACCCCAUCUAACAUGGACUGGAGAUAACCCAUUAGAGACUUUCACUAUACUAACAUUUUCUUCCCACAGGACCCCACAAGGCUACCAUCAUUCCAUUUCAGCAGGAAGUAACUUGGAAGAUGCUACACCCCUUUUCCCCAUUAUUGUCUAUUAGGGUGGUGUAAGCCUAGUUAGGAAUAACUUUCCUAUUGUUUAGGGUUGGGAUUGGAAGGAGGUGUUCAGGUUGGACACCCCUUUCAGAUAACUUUAUUGCUUAGCUGGAAUAGACACAGUUAGGAAGUGCAAUAGCAGAUUAUUGUAUCUUCUUGUAUUUCACCUUUAUGAUUAUUAAUUUUGCAUGUUUUCACCAUUAAGUUUUAAUCCUCUUUUAGUCUAAAAGGGGAAUUGUAGGGAGACAACAUAACCACACUUUCUAAGAGCUGGCUACAGGUGUGCUUAACCACUCCUGCCAGGGCUUGGUCUGGAUGAUGCGUGGAGAGUUCUUAAAGUGUGGCAGGGAUGUGGGAGCUAUCUCUCUGGCCUCCCUAGCUUGCUGCCUCUGGGCUCGCUCUGGCUUGUGCUUGGCCAGUAUUAUUUAAAUAAAGAUAUCUUAACCUGCAAUCUCUCAGUACAGUUUCCUUUAAAGAAUCAUUGCUUAUUUCUCACAUUAGAAGGAGGCAUUUGCAAUUUCAUCCUUUUUAAUAAUCUGUAAAAUAUUUUAUGCUUAUGAUAUGUACACCAACUUGUUUUCUUAUGGGAAGAUUUAUUAUGGUGGAAGAUAUGAAGUUUAGUGUACCAAUAAGUCUUUACUCCAAACUGCCCAAGCCCUUCAGGCACAUGGGCGCUUUCUGCCAGGCUCCCAAGUUCUGCCCGACGCCAUGUUAGAGUUCCAAGUAACACACAGAGACUUAUAUUAGGUACAAAUGCUUCUUGGCCAAUGACUAGGAUUUCUUAUAUGCUAGGUAAGUCUUAAUUAUCAUAAAUCUAUAUAUUUUAUAAGACUUAUUUUAUGUAAGACACCUUCCACUAGCAUCCUCAUCCUGGAAUUACAUGGUGGCUCAGAGCAGAGAGC
rnacentral:lncRNA from 1 species